rnacentral:rRNA from 1 species
UACGUAGGGACCGAGCGUUGUCCGGAAUCAUUGGGCGUAAAGAGCGUGUAGGCGGCUAUUUAAGUCCUGCGUGAAAUCCUGCGGCUCAACCGCAGACGGUCGUGGGAAACUGGAUGGCUAGAGUGCGGGAGAGGAGAGUGGAAUUCCCGGUGUAGCGGUGAAAUGCGCAGAUAUCGGGAAGAACACCCGUGGCGAAGGCGGCCCUCUGGAACGCAACUGACGCUGAGACGCGAAAGCGUGGGGAGCAAACAGG